ensembl:snRNA U6 U6 spliceosomal RNA
GUUCUUGCUUCGGCAGCACAUGUACUAAAAUUGGAACAAUACAGAGAAGAUGAGCACAGCCCCUGUGCAAGGAUGACAUGCAAAUUCGUGAAGCAUUCUGUAUUUUU